AUUGAACGCUGGCGGCAUGCCUUACACAUGCAAGUCGAACGGUGACGGGCCUUCGGGUGCCGACGAGUGGCGAACGGGUGAGUAAUACAUCGGAACGUGCCCGAUCGUGGGGGAUAACGAGGCGAAAGCUUUGCUAAUACCGCAUACGAUCUACGGAUGAAAGCAGGGGACCGCAAGGCCUUGCGCGGACGGAGCGGCCGAUGGCAGAUUAGGUAGUUGGUGGGAUAAAAGCUUACCAAGCCGACGAUCUGUAGCUGGUCUGAGAGGAUGAUCAGCCACACUGGGACUGAGACACGGCCCAGACUCCUACGGGAGGCAGCAGUGGGGAAUUUUGGACAAUGGGCGCAAGCCUGAUCCAGCCAUGCCGCGUGCAGGAUGAAGGCCUUCGGGUUGUAAACUGCUUUUGUACGGAACGAAAAGCCUUCUUUUAAUACAGGAGGGUCAUGACGGUACCGUAAGAAUAAGCACCGGCUAACUACGUG
rnacentral:rRNA from 1 species